rnacentral:rRNA from 1 species
AAUAUUGCACAAUGGGCGCAAGCCUGAUGCAGCCAUGCCGCGUGUAUGAAGAAGGCCUUCGGGUUGUAAAGUACUUUCAGCAGUGAGGAAGGUGGAUAUGUUAAUAGCACAUUCAUUUGACGUUAGCUGCAGAAGAAGCACCGGCUAACUCCGUGCCAGCAGCCGCGGUAAUACGGAGGGUGCGAGCGUUAAUCGGAAUUACUGGGCGUAAAGCGCAUGCAGGUGGUUUGUUAAGUCAGAUGUGAAAGCCCGGGGCUCAACCUCGGAAUUGCAUUUGAAACUGGCAAACUAGAGUACUGUAGAGGGGGUAGAAUUUCAGGUGUAGCGGUGAAAUGCGUAGAGAUCUGAAGGAAUACCGGUGGCGAAGGCGGCCCCCUGGACAGAUACUGACACUCAGAUGCGAAAGCGUGGGGAGCAAACAGGAUUAGAUACCCUGGUAG